rnacentral:rRNA from 1 species
UACGUAGGGCGCAAGCGUUAUCCGGAAUUAUUGGGCGUAAAGAGCUCGUAGGCGGUUUGUCGCGUCUGCCGUGAAAGUCCGGGGCUCAACUCCGGAUCUGCGGUGGGUACGGGCAGACUAGAGUGAUGUAGGGGAGACUGGAAUUCCUGGUGUAGCGGUGAAAUGUGUAGAGAUCGGGAGGAACACCGGUGGCGAAGGCGGGUCUCUGGGCAUUCCCUGACGCUGAGGCGCGAAAGCGUGGGGAGCAAACGGG